ACCACCGUGGGUCCUCCAAGUAGCUGUGGGUGACAGGGACCACCACGUCACCUCCUCAUCACCACCUCCAUGUGUCGGAACCAUAACUCACGUACGAGUGACAGGGACCACCGUGUCACCACCUCAAUGUCAUCUCCAUCUGUUGGGACCACAGUGUGACCACCACAACCAUGUGUGGGUGACAGGGACCACCGUGUCACCUCAUCAAUGUCAUCUCUAUCUGCUGGGACCACCAUGUAACCUCCUGAUGACCAUCUAUGUUAGGACCACAGUGUGGCUCCCACAACCGGUGACGGGGACCACGGUGUCACCUCCUCAGUGUCAUCUCUGUGUGUUGGGACCACAGUGGGACCUCCACAACCAUUUGUGGGUGACAGAGACCACCAUGUCACCUCCUGAUCGCCACCUCCGUGUGUUGGGACCACAGUGUGACCACCACGACCAUGUGUGGGUGACGGGGACCACCGUGUCACCUCGUCAAUGCCAUCUCUAUCUGCUGGGACCACCGUGUCACCUCCUGGAUGCCAUCUCCAUCUGUUGGGACCACCGUGGGUCCUCCAAGUAGCUGUGGGUGACAGGGACCACCACGUCACCUCCUCAUCACCACCUCCAUGUGUUGGAACCAUAACUCAUGUACAAGUGACAGGGACCACCGUGUCACCACCUCAAUGUCAUCUCCGUGUGUUGGGACAACCGUGUGACCACCACAACCAUGUGUGGGUGACAAGGACCACUGUGUCACCUCGUGGAUGCCAUCUCUAUCUGCUGGGACCACCGUGUCACCUCCUGAUGACCAUCUCUGUUGGGACCACAGUGUGGCUCCCACAACCGGUGACGGGGACCACGGUGUCACCUCCUCAAUGCCAUCUCCGUGUGUUGGGACCACCGUGGGACCUCCACAGCCACCUACGGGUGACAAAAAAACACCGUGUCACCUCCUGAUCGCCAUCUCCGUGUGUUGGGGACCGCACUGGGACCUCCACAACCAUUUGUGGGUGACGGGGACCACCGUGUCACCUC
ensembl:lncRNA